AACGACUCUCGGCAACGGAUAUCUCGGCUCUCGCAUCGAUGAAGAACGUAGCGAAAUGCGAUACUUGGUGUGAAUUGCAGAAUCCCGUGAACCAUCGAGUCUUUGAACGCAAGUUGCGCCCGAAGCCAUCCGGCCGAGGGCACGUCUGGCUGGGUGUCACACAACG
rnacentral:rRNA from 1 species